ensembl:Y_RNA Y_RNA Y RNA
GUCUGGUCCAAAGGUAGUGAGUUACCUCUAUUGAUCGUUCAUAGUUAGUUACAGCUCAAAUGCUUUGUUCUCCUCUUUCCCCCUUCUCACAACUGCACUUGACUAGUCUAAA